rnacentral:tRNA from 1 species
GGUGAUGUAGCUCAGUGGAAGAGUGUUUGCCUAGCAUGCAAGAGUUCUGAGUUCAAUUCUUAGUACUGUCA